rnacentral:rRNA from 1 species
GGAUUAGAUACCCUGGUAGUCCACGCCGUAAACGGUGGGCGCUAGUUGUGCGAACCUUCCACGGUUUGUGCGACGCAGCUAACGCAUUAAGCGCCCCGCCUGGGGAGUACGAUCGCAAGAUUAAAACUCAAAGGAAUUGACGGGGCCCCGCACAAGCAGCGGAGCAUGCGGCUUAAUUCGACGCAACGCGAAGAACCUUACCAAGGCUUGACAUAUACAGGAAUAUGGCAGAGAUGUCAUAGCCGCAAGGUCUGUAUACAGGUGGUGCAUGGUUGUCGUCAGCUCGUGCCG